CGAACGGGUGAGUAACACGUGGGUGAUCUGCCCUGCACUCUGGGAUAAGCAUGGGAAACUGGGUCUAAUACCGGAUAGGAGCCAUCUUUAGUGUGGUGGUUGGAAAGUUUUUUCGGUGUAGGAUGAGCUCGCGGCCUAUCAGCUUGUUGGUGGGGUGAUGGCCUACCAAGGCGACGACGGGUAGCCGGCCUGAGAGGGUGAUCGGCCACAUUGGGACUGAGAUACGGCCCAG
rnacentral:rRNA from 1 species